CUGUCCAUGAAGUGCUUACCCUGCCCGGCUAUCUCACAGAACCAUUUGAUGCAACUUGCCACAUGCUGUGCCUAAGUAUGUGCUUAGUCUAUCAUGAAAUUACAAGAGCGUCAGCAAGCGUCAAGUCGGAUUGUGGUUCAUCAUCACGGCUACAACAAAGCCUGCUCACCCAGUUCGUAACAGCGGAUAUAAACAGAGGCAAAGGCUCGCGGAAUUCUAUGAUCACACGGUGAAAACUUUCAUUGCAUUAUUUUACUGACUUUUUUGAUUUACCAAAGGGCUUAUCACAGAUACCACCUUCAUUACACAGAGCAGGAUCCACAGUAUUGCCUUCACAGGAUAUAACCUUUAUCAGAUGGACACUUCCAGGACAAGAACAUGAGGUUAAAAAAUGCAUUUUGGAAUGCCCUAUUUCAUUUGAACAAAAAAUUGUCCCUUUAAGCUCCCAUAGUUUUGCAUGGUUUGUUCUGUGAGGUGUGAUAUUGCCUUAUUUGUGGAGGGAACCAUAUCUCUCAUCAUUUAGCAACUAUGAAUCCUGUAAAGCUCUAAUAACCAUCAGUAGUAAUUCAGAAAUAUGCCUGAAAAAGCUAGGGAUGGCUGUAACAGCUGCUCCACAUAGCUAAAUGUGUGUGUUUGGGAGGGGUGUGGAUAUUUGAAAAUAUUGCCUCAUUUACCACUAUUAUUGUGCAAACGCAAAUUGAAGCAUUUCUACAACUGACCUGUUCCUACAAUUUGCUCAUAAUCACAUAGAAGAAAAUACGGCAUAAAGAAGACAUUUCAAUUACAGCUGUUAGACUGUGGAUUUCACUAAUCACCCCUGGAUUUUUAUAUCCCAAGAAUUCAAUGACGAGGAAUAAUAGCAAUCAUGAAAGAUUAAGAAAAGUGCGACAUAUUUCUGUAACCUGUCCUACAAAGAGCACAAUGUUACCUUCAAUCUGAGCUAUUAUUUGACUUUUAGAAAUAUAUAUUAUAAUUGCUGUGAUUAAUUCACAUUAGGGUAACACAAUAUGUUGUAUGCUUUCAAAUCCAUGAGUAAAA